CGCACAUUGCGCCCGCUAGUAUUCUGGCGGGCAUGCCUGUUCGAGCGUCAUUUCAACCCCUCAAGCUCUGCUUGGUGCUGGGGCCCUACGUGCGCCGUAGGCCCCGAAUUACAGUGGCGGGCUCGCCGCGAUCCCGAGCGUAGUAGCACACACCUCGCUCUGGGGCUCCGCGGUGGGUGCCGGCCGUGAAAGCGACCAAUGUUAUCGUUGUAAACGCAAGGUUGACCUCGGAUCAGGUAGGAAUACCCGCUGAACUUAA
rnacentral:misc_RNA from 1 species